CAGUAGCCGCGGUAAUACGAAGGGUGCAAGCGUUAAUCGGAAUUACUGGUCGUAAAGCGUGCGUAGGUGGUGGUUUAAGUCCGUUGUGAAAGCCCUGGGCUCAACCUGGGAAUUGCAGUGGAUACUGGGUCACUAGAGUGUGGUAGAGGAUAGUGGAAUUUCCGGUGUAGCAGUGAAAUGCGUAGAGAUCGGAAGGAACAUCUGUGGCGAAGGCGACUAUCUGGGCCAACACUGACACUGAGGCACGAAAGCGUGGGGAGCAAACAGGAUUAGAUACCCGUGUAGUCCCUGUCUCUUAUAC
rnacentral:rRNA from 1 species